CUGUUUCCGGGGUGGAGCCAGGGAGGGCGGGAGUUUAGGCUGCACCGACCCCUCAGCCCCCCUCCAGGAGACGUUCGGAGCCCAGGACAUGUCGGGAUUGAGGAGAUACGAGGUGGCGCUGGAGGCGGAGGAGGAGAUCUACUGGGGUUGCUUCUACUUUUUCCCCUGGCUGCGCAUGUGGCGGAGGGACAGGAGCUCGGCGCAUCCCCGGGAGCAGAAGCUGGAGCCUCUACGAGGCCUGAUGAGCUGUCUAUCAAGCGGCCUGGGCCCUGCCCCCCAGCGCUCGGGUCGCGGCCUCCCCCGCCGCACCCCCACCGCCACUGCCCAGCCAGCCGGUGCAUUAAAGAUUUAAACCGAAGCCACCGUGCUGCCCUCCUGACUCUGCCGCCGCUGCCGCCAUUCGGGCUGGGAGCCCCUCUACACGCCUGCUUUUCGUUACUGACAGGGCCUCCCUCCCUGAUAGGGUGCCCUUCCAUAUCCAGGCCCCCGUUAUUACUAAGGAUCCCUCAUCAGUAUCAGGCGUCCCAUUACUGUCAUUGACUGCCCUCCGCCACCUAACCCCCCCCGCCCCCACUUCGCUGUAAAUAGCCUGUAUGACGGGAACUAAGUAGCCCUGUCCCGGUCUUCCUCCCAGCCUAUCUCCACAU